rnacentral:lncRNA from 1 species
UGCAGGGUGAUCGGCUCCGGUAGUCUGUCACUGAACCACAUCGCCUCGGCAUAUUUUCAACGAUAUCGAAGGGAUCUGAUAAUUCUAAUGCCGAUUGGUACAUCUCAUUCCAAAACUGAUAAACUGUACACUGUAAAAUGUGCUCCAAAACUACAUAUCUUAGAAUAGACUGAGUAUUACAAAUUCAAAAGUAAAAAUCUUGUAAAAGAUACAACAUGUACAAGUAACCUUCCGAUUUUGUCAUAAUCUCCAAAAAAAAAAAAUUAUUUUGAAACCAAAUGUCGUUAUCUAAUGAUAUUUCAUCAAUUAAAAAAAGUGACAACAUAGGUGUUUCCUUUAACAUUCAAUUUAUAAAUUUUUAUUUUGCCAUUUCUUUUUUUGCAUGCCGAAUCAAUGUGCACGUGACGCAACUUCGGAGCUACGAUCUUUUUCUGAAUGAACAGCUUCAUCAACACUUGUAACUAGGUUGUCAAACUAAUAUCCGGGAUAGACGAAAAAGACACCAACACUCUCCGAUUCCGAUUGACCAACUCAUCUCUCUCUCUUCUGCUUUUUUUUUUUUUUUUUU